UGGGGAAUAUUGCGCAAUGGGGGCAACCCUGACGCAGCAACGCCGCGUGCGGGACGAAGGCAUUCGUGUCGUAAACCGCUUUCAGCAGGGAAGACAUCGACGGUACCUGCAGAAGAAGCCCCGGCUAACUACGUGCCAGCAGCCGCGGUAACACGUAGGGGGCGAGCGUUAUCCGGAUUCAUUGGGCGUAAAGCGCGCGCAGGCGGCCGCCUAAGCGGGACCUCUAAUCCCGGGGCUCAACCCCGGGCCGGGUCCCGGACUGGGCGGCUCGCGUCCGGUAGGGGGAGGCGGAAUACCCGGUGUAGCGGUGGAAUGCGCAGAUAUCGGGUAGAACACCGAUGGCGAAGGCAGCCUCCUGGGCCGCGACGGACGCUGAGGCGCGAAAGCUAGGGGAGCGAACAGG
rnacentral:rRNA from 2 species